rnacentral:sRNA from 1 species
UUUUCUAAGUUCAGAAGCACGAAGAGAACAUCCGUAAAGAAAGAGUAAAGCAAUGGGGAGAGGCUCUUUAUGAAGCUGCAAACUUGUCUGGUCACGAUCUUAAAAACGAGAACAGUGAUCCAGGAAUUCACUAAUAGGCCGAAUGCAAGAUCAUAACAGACGGCUGAAGGAGGCGAAGAGAGAGAGAGAGAGAGAGAUGGAGUUGAUGGCUGAAGGAUGAACAAAGAGCGUGUUUGUGGAGUUGCUGUGUUGGUGUGGACAGCCGCAGCAGUAAUGUUUCUGGUUUAGUUUUCAAAAAGUUCAAAUCAUAUCAUGUAACCAAAUGACUGUUUUCCGUGUAUUGGGCUUCAAAACUGUUUUUGGGCCCUUUUAUGUUUUAUGGUCCAUCUUGUGUUUACUUUGUAUCUGAACCAUUAUGUUUGUAAUGCGUGUCGUUGGUAAUGAAUUUUACAUUUUG